rnacentral:rRNA from 1 species
UCGGAGAGGGAGCAUGAGAAACGGCUACCACAUCUAAGGAUGGCAGCAGGCGCGCAAAUUACCCAAUCCUAACUCAGGGAGGUAGUGACAAGAAAUAACAACUUCGGGCUUGCCCGAGAUUGGAAUGAGUACAACGUACAAUCUUUAACGAGUACCAACUGGAGGGCAAGUCUGGUGCCAGCAGCCGCGGUAAUUCCAGCUCCAGUAGCGUAUACUAAAGUUGUUGCAGUUAAAAAGCUCGUAGUUGAAUUUCUGUGUAGUGUACUUGCGGUCUCCGGACCAAUAUAUACUGCACAUCCAUCUGAACAGCACUUCUUGUCAUUCAUUUGUCGGUUGUGUGAUCAGAUACUUUACCUUGAGAAAAAUAGAGUGUUCCAAGCAGGCGUCCGCCUGAAUAAUAAAGCAUGGAAUAAUACAAUAGGACUGGGUUCUAUUGGUGCAUAGAACUUAGUAAUGAUUAAUAGGGACAGUUGGGGGCAUUUGUAUUUAAUUGUCAGAGGUGAAAUUCUUUGAUUUAUUAAAGACAAACCUAUGCGAAAGCAUUUGCCAAGGAUGUUUUCAUUAAUCAAGAACGAAAGUUAAGGGAUCGAAGACGAUCAGAUACCGUCGUAGUCUUAACCAUAAACUAUGCCGACUAGAGAUUGGAGGUGCAAUCUCAAUACUCCUUCAGCAUCUUAGGAGAAAUCAAAGUCUUUGGGUUCUGGGGGUAGUAUGGUCGCAAGGCUGAAACUUAAAGGAAUUGACGGAAGGGCACCACAAGGUGUGGAGCCUGCGGCUUAAUUUGACUCAACACGGGGAACUUACCAGGUCCAGACAUGGGAAGGAUUGACAGAUUGGAGAUCUUUCUUGAUUCCAUGGAUGGUGGUGCAUGGCCGUUCUUAGUUGGUGGAGUGAUUUGUCAGGUUAAUUCCGAUAACGAACGAGACCUCAACCUGCUAACUAGUUGCAGCUUCUUUCAAGUUGUAGACUUCUUAGAGGGACUAUAGGAUUUAACCUAAGGAAGUUUGAGGCAAUAACAGGUCUGUGAUGCCCUUAGAUGUCCUGGGCCGCACGCGCGCUACACUGAUGCAGGCACUAAGUCUCCAAUUUCGAAAGAUUUUGGGAACCUUCAAACUGCAUCGUGCUGGGGAUUGACACUUGUAAUUAUUUGUCAUCAACGAGGAAUACCUAGUAAGCGCAAGUCAUCAGCUUGCACUGAUUACGUCCCUGCCCUUUGUACACACCGCCCGUCGCUCCUACCGAUUGGGUGAUGCGGUGAGCCUUUCGGACGGGCGCUUCGGCGCCUGAAAGUUAUGCAAAUCUCAUCACUUAGAGGAAGGAGAAGUCGUAACAAGGU